rnacentral:rRNA from 1 species
GAUGAACGCUGGCGGCGUGCCUAAUACAUGCAAGUCGAGCGGACAGACGAGGAGCUUGCUCCUCUGACGUUAGCGGCGGACGGGUGUGUAACACGUGGAUAACCUACCUAUAAGACUGGGAUAACUUCGGGACUCCGGCGCUAAUACCGUAUAAUAUCUUGAACCACAUGGUUCAAUGGUAAAAGACGGUUUUGCUGUCACUUAUAGAUGGAUCCGCGCCGCAUUAGCUAGUUGGUAAGGUCACGGCUUAUCAAGGCAACGAUGCGUAGCCGACCUGAGAGAGUGAUCGGCCACCCGGGAACUGAGACGCGGACAAGACUCCUACGGGAGGCAGCAGUAGGGAAUCUUCCGCAAUGGGCGAAAGCCUGACGGAGCAACGCCGCGUGAGUGAUGAAGGUCUUCGGAUCGUAAAACUCUGUUAUUAGGGAUGAACAAAUGUGUAAGUAACUAUGCACGUCGUGACGGUAAUGAAUCAGAAAGCCACGGCUAACUACGUG